rnacentral:misc_RNA from 1 species
AUUUGUUCAUCAAUGCAGGGAAAGUUGGUUGUUGCACCGUUGCUGUCUGUUAUACACAUUUACAGUGUCUGUGAAGAAAUGCGAGCUGCUCCUGUCAACACAUUAAAUCCUCAGAGAACUGCAAUGAUCGUGGCUGAUUUUGUGAAGACUGGCAGAAUCUCAAGUCCUGCUGACUUAAGAUAUCGAGAAGAUCUCUUGUUUCCCGGAAGGCUGAUAGAGGAUGCUGGAAAGGUUAAGGUGGGAAGGUCCCUGCAUGAAGUAGUUAGGCCUUCAAAGCUGACACAAUUUAAAGAAGCAUUUCUAGAAGAGAAAUUCCUUUUGAAUCAUGGAAGUAGAUGGACUGAUAUGAUACUGGAGCACAAUGCAACCGGUGAAGAUGCAUUGAGGGGUUGGCUGGUUGCUGCUUAUGCUUCGGAUAUGGAACGAUUGGUUCAUGAACCAAGUGCAAAUAUCUUGCAAGAGGCUUAUGAUAAAAUGAAUUCCACAUUCUCUCCAUUUUUAGCUGAGUUGCAAGCAAAAGGGUGGCAUACAGAUCGAUUUCUUGAUGGUACUGGAAAUCGCUUUGCGUUUUAGGUUUGUAGGAUCUCAAAUUCUUUUUACUUUUUGUUACGCUUUCCUAGUUAUUAGAAUAUAUGUUGUAGUGGGACAAAAACCUUUCAUCCUCAAACGGUGGAAUUUGAG